GGUUCUUUGUUAAUAAGAUAAAGAAUCGAGCCUGCCCAGUGAUGAGAAUUUAACGGCCGCGGUAAUUUAACUGUGCGAAGGUAGCAUAAUCAAUUGUCUAUUAAUUGUAGACUGGAAUGAAUGGUUUAACUAAAAAUUAAUUGUCUUAAUAUUACAUUGAAAUUUUCGUUUUCUUGAGGAGAAGAAAAUGAUCUAAGGGGACGAGAAGACCCUAUUGAGCUUUAUACCUAAAUUAUGGAUAUUUGUGGUGAGUAGAAUAUUAUUGGUAUUUUACUGGGGCGGUAAGAGUUAUUAAAUAUAAAACAAUUUGCUAGAAGGAUACUGAUAAGUGAAAUUUUGAUCCAAUAUUAUUGAGUAUGAGACUAAGUUACUGUAGGGAUAACAGCGUGAUUUUACUUUGAAGUACCAAUUUAUAGUAAAGAUUGCGACCUCGAUGUUGGUUUAGGAUACUUAUUUGGCGCAGAUGCUAAAUUAAGUAGUCUGUUCGACUAUUAAAAUCCUAUA
rnacentral:rRNA from 1 species